GACAGGUUGGGGGUGGGGUGGAGUAAGCUAAGAAGCAAACUUGGACCUCUAGAACAAAUUUCGCGAGACCUUUAUUACAGGGCCUCAGCAACCGGAUGAUACCGCGAGAGAGGACGCCUGACGUAAUUAAAGUGCGCGAACGGAAGUGGCGCGGAACAUGACGGAAAAUCAGUACGGUUGGUCCCUUAAGGACCAGCGGGAAAGAUAAAAGCUGGGGUUUAGUCUGUGCUGCGUGAAAUAUGUCUUGGCCUCACUUCCUGUCCUCUGAGCUGCCUGCAGCCGGGCGAGGUGGUGUUGAACUGUGUUUUUUGUGACGAAGCUUACUUUUAAGUUUCAUCCCUAAACUAAGUUGACCUGUUUCUUUAAGACGGCUUGCAAAAUGUGUUUUCCUCAAUGUGGGAUAUGGAAAGAAGCAGUUGCUCCUGUUAUUUUGAGCUAGUACCUGACGCUAUGAGAAAUUCUAAAAGAGCGAAUCAGAUCAUGCAACAUGAAUAACUAUGGAGGCUGAGUGAUCAAGAACAGAAGUUAAUAUUUUGGUGUUACAAACUUUCCACGGAUUAGGACAUGAGAAAACACGCUGAGAGUUUAAAGCAAUUAUGGUCCUCACAAACUAGAUCAUUCUGUCCCCAAGAUGGUCAGUAUUGCUCAUGUUGUACUACCAGCACAAGUUUUAGUUUUAAACUAACUGUUGAAUUUUAUAUAGUCCGUUUGACAUAAAGCCUAACUGUGGAAUUAUGUUAAACACAUUUGGGAUUGCAAAUAGAUCAUUGGAUUUGACCAUCAAGAAGUUACAAACUCCUGGGAAACAUUCUGUCACUUUUUAUUCGUAGUUCUAGUGACACGCAGUGACAGUUUGAUGAGUGGAUAAAAAAAUGAAAGAAACGAUAAUUUCUUUUCACUGUACACUCUCUCUUUGCAUGCUCUUACCCAAGGUCUCUGUUUCUCAUACUAUUUUUAUAAUGAUGACUCCUAAUCUCCAAAUACUCAAGAUUUUUCCUGAAUUCUGGACCUAUUGGUCAUCUCUACUUAGACAAACACCUAAACUUCAAGAUACCACAGCAAAUUCAAAAGUUGUCACCCACCACAAAUAUAUUCCUAUGUUAUUUUCCUAUGUCACUUAAGGAUGCCAUCACCCAGUUGGUUGUCCAAGUGAGAAAUC
rnacentral:lncRNA from 10 species